rnacentral:rRNA from 1 species
GAUGAACGCUGGCGGCGUGCUUAACACAUGCAAGUCGAACGAAGCACUUAAGACAGAUUCCUUCGGGAUGAAGAUUUUUGUGACUGAGUGGCGGACGGGUGAGUAACGCGUGGGUAACCUGCCUUAUACAGGGGGAUAGCAGUUGGAAACGACUGGUAAUACCGCAUAAGCGCACAGUACCGCAUGGUACAGUGUGAAAAACUCCGGUGGUAUAAGAUGGACCCGCGUCUGAUUAGCUAGUUGGCAGGGUAACGGCCUACCAAGGCGACGAUCAGUAGCCGACCUGAGAGGGUGACCGGCCACAUUGGGACUGAGACACGGCCCAGACUCCUACGGGAGGCAGCAGUGGGGAAUAUUGCACAAUGGAGGAAACUCUGAUGCAGCGACGCCGCGUGAGUGAAGAAGUAUUUCGGUAUGUAAAGCUCUAUCAGCAGGGAAGAUAAUGACGGUACCUGACUAAGAAGCAACCGGCUAAAUACGUGCCAGCA